AUUUGUCUUUUAAUUAAAGACUANAACGAAAGAUUUAACAAUUUUAUUCCUAUCUAAUUUAUAUUACUUUAAAAUUUUCUUAAAUAUAAAAAGAUAUUUAUAUUAAAAAAAGACGAUAAGACCCUAUUGAACUUAACUGAAGUNNAACUGGGGCAGUUAAUUAAAUAAAAUUUUAAUUCUAUUAAUAUAUAAACAAACCUAAUAAAAUUAAAUCUUAAUCAAGUNNCCAUAGGGAUAACAGCGUAAUAAUUNUCUUAAGAUCUUAUUUAAAAAAUAGUUUGCGACCUCGAUGUUGAAUUAAUAACCUAAUAAUUGCAACAAUUNAAUAAAGGAAGUCUGUUCGACUUUUAAUUAAUUAC
rnacentral:rRNA from 1 species